rnacentral:rRNA from 1 species
AUACGUAGGUGGCAAGCGUUGUCCGGAAUUAUUGGGCGUAAAGCGCGCGCAGGCGGUCUCUUAAGUCUGAUGUGAAAGCCCACGGCUCAACCGUGGAGGGUCAUUGGAAACUGGGAGACUUGAGUGCAGAAGAGGAGAGCGGAAUUCCACGUGUAGCGGUGAAAUGCGUAGAGAUGUGGAGGAACACCAGUGGCGAAGGCGGCUCUCUGGUCUGUAACUGACGCUGAGGCGCGAAAGCGUGGGGAGCGAACAGGAUUAGAUACCCUGGUAGUCCACGCCGUAAACGAUGAGUGCUAAGUGUUAGAGGGCUUCCACCCUUUAGUGCUGCAGCUAACGCAUUAAGCACUCCGCCUGGGGAGUACGGCCGCAGGGCUGAA